UAGAGUUUGAUCCUGGCUCAGGAUGAACGCUGGCGGCGUGCUUAACACAUGCAAGUCGAACGGUGAAGCAGAGCUUGCUCUGUGGAUCAGUGGCGAACGGGUGAGUAACACGUGAGCAACCUGCCCCGGACUCUGGGAUAAGCGCUGGAAACGGCGUCUAAUACCGGAUACGAGAUUCCACCGCAUGGUGAGUUUCUGGAAAGAUUUUUUGGUCUGGGAUGGGCUCACGGCCUAUCAGCUUGUUGGUGAGGUAAUGGCUCACCAAGGCGUCGACGGGUAGCCGGCCUGAGAGGGUGACCGGCCACACUGGGACUGAGACACGGCCCAGACUCCUACGGGAGGCAGCAGUGGGGAAUAUUGCACAAUGGGCGGAAGCCUGAUGCAGCAACGCCGCGUGAGGGAUGAGCGGCCUUCGGGUUGUAAACCUCUUUUAGCAGGGAAGAAGCGAAAGUGACGGUACCUGCAGAAAAAGCGCCGGCUAACUACGUGCCAGCAGCCGCGGUAAUACGUAGGGCGCAAGCGUUAUCCGGAAUUAUUGGGCGUAAAGAGCUCGUAGGCGGUUUGUCGCGUCUGCUGUGAAAUCCCGAGGCUCAACCUCGGGUCUGCAGUGGGUACGGGCAGACUAGAGUGCGGUAGGGGAGAUUGGAAUUCCUGGUGUAGCGGUGGAAUGCGCAGAUAUCAGGAGGAACACCGAUGGCGAAGGCAGAUCUCUGGGCCGUUACUGACGCUGAGGAGCGAAAGGGUGGGGAGCAAACAGGCUUAGAUACCCUGGUAGUCCACCCCGUAAACGUUGGGAACUAGUUGUGGGGUCCAUUCCACGGAUUCCGUGACGCAGCUAACGCAUUAAG
rnacentral:rRNA from 1 species